UACGUAGGUGGCAAGCGUUAUCCGGAUUUACUGGGUGUAAAGGGCGUGUAGGCGGUUCUGCAAGUCAGAUGUGAAAUCUCCGGGCUUAACCCGGAAGCUGCAUCUGAAACUGCAGAACUUGAGUACUGGAGAGGAUAGUGGAAUUCCUAGUGUAGCGGUAAAAUGCGUAGAUAUUAGGAGGAACACCAGUGGCGAAGGCGGCUAUCUGGACAGUAACUGACGCUGAGGCGCGAAAGCGUGGGGAGCAAACAGG
rnacentral:rRNA from 1 species